UGCAGCAAAAGGGACACCAGAACCCCCAAUAUCCGGAAACGGCAUCACACCAAGCGCCAGGCUGGUUUGGGGAGUAUACCCCAUUCUUCUUCUUGGUUUAUAGGUCUUGCACAUCUCUGCUCCUAACGGAUGAGUUGGUUGAAUAGUCCCACCACUUUCGUCUAGUUAAUUUUCGUUCGGUUUAUUUUUGUCUCACCUCCCACUCCCCACCCACACACACGCACUGCAAAAAAAACCAGCCCGCAUGAAACACCCGUCCCGAUCUCCCGUCCAAAAGAAAAACGCUGUGACCAGCGAGCCGCUCCCUCUCUCUCCUCGCACGAGUCGCGGCACGCGCUACGGUUCCUCACGCCGCCGCCGCACACCUCCAUCCCCUUCCCAACCCCGGCCGGCCUCCACUCCACUCCUCCGCGGGCGCCACCCAACCACCGCCGCCCUCUCCACGCACCCGCACCCACUCACCCAACUCUCUCUCCGCCGCCGCCAUCUAGAUCUCGUCCGAUCGAUUCCUGCGGCGCGCAUCACACUCCUUCUGUGCUCGCCUCGCGCCGCUGUGUUCACCCAUCCGGCUGGAUUCGCCGCUCCCCGGUGGCAAGGGCUUCGGUCGCCUCCAACUCCGGCGACUCCGGCGGUUCAUCUCCGACACCUACCCAGCCCCCACGCGCAGCUCUGUCUCCUGGAUGAAUUUGUCCUGCUCGAGGACGAUCGGUUCUUCCUCAAGCUCCAAGGACGCCUGCCAUCCUCGAGCCUCCCUCCGUGGGAUGCCAUGGAGAUGAAACUCCCCUCGACCAGGGAAUUCAAGGGCAUGUGGGAGAGAGAGGAGGUCCAUGGAGAAGAUGCUCUGCUCCAACCCUCCCUGCCUCCUACUACAAGAUGUCUUUUAUUGUGUGUGCUUGUAUUGCAGCAGCCAUGUGCGUAUCAAAAAAAGGGUCCAGUUUGCAGCAGUCACAUGAUAUGGACAUGUUUUUUCAUCACAAUUGGAUUUUUGGAUUUACUAGGCUAAUUGGUGGUGGUUGCUGUUGUUGUUGUUUUAGCAGCAGCAGCAGCAGCAGGCCGAGUGACGGUGGUGGCUGUGUGCAGGCCAUGGAGGCGAUGAUGAGCACGAGGGGAAGGCUGCUGCUUCAACCCCGUUAAGGACUGCUGCUUCGAAUUGUCCCAGAUCGGUCGAUUUCUUCUUGCUUUCCCGUUAAGGAUUUCUUCUUGAUGUUUAUAUUAUUGGAUUGCCAGUAUAUUUUGUAACCCGUGGAAUUAGUAUGACCUGCCUGGCAACCUGUAUUUUACUGGAGAAAAUGUUGAACAGUAGGCUUGUUAUUUUGAAUGCUUGCGGCAAAGGGAUGGGCUUGCACCCUUUUAUGUUCUAGACUAGGCAUGCUAAUGAAAACAUUCCCGUACAUGUAGGUCAUAUGCAUAUAAACUCCACUUCUUAUAUUACUUAUCUAUCCUUUAACAACUUAUGUGUGGGAUUUGCUUCGAAAGUUGUCCACGUGAGUCAAUGGGUGCUGCUUCAUGUGGGCAUCCUUUCUGUGGUGUAUGUUGGAGAGGUUCGUUCUUUUGUUAUCCCCUUGCUUUGGAUGGUCAUACUUUACACUGCCCUUGCCUAGAUAAUUGUGCCAUGAAUACGCUUGGUGAUGGACCAAGUGUGCCUAACUAUCUAUUAAGUUACCCUUGAUUUUUCUUCUGACUGAACACAUAGAUGUUUACCGUAGCUGCAUGUGAGCAUAUCUUCCUCAAUCAAAGUUGAGCAUGUGGGCAUUUUACUGGAGUGUGUUCCUGAAUAUGUUUUUCUGAAAAAAGCAUUGAUGGCAAUUUAUAGUCAUGCGUGAACACAAACAAUUGUAUUGUGCUUUUUCCUAUAGCGUGAACACAAACAAAUGUAUUAUGCUUUUUCCUGAUAGGUUGCAAGCAUGCAGUGUUAUUGUUGCACAACAUUGGCCAUGCUCCUCCAAAUGUAUUAUGCUUUUUUUGGUUCUCAUUUCUUAUAUGCAAUAAUAUCACUUGUUGGGCAUAAAUGAUGUAUUUGAAUGCUCUAGGAUCUAGCCGUUUGGAGUUAUAUACUGGAUAGUAUAUUAUUACCUGUUCGAACCAUUUUGAAAUUGAGUAGAUAAAAAGUCCAUAGAUUCGGGGUCGACCAUUUCCUCAGAGAAGUCCAUAGGUUGCAUGGUGCCAAACACGGAUUGAUGAUUCUGUCAUGGGUUCCUCAGAGAAGAUGGCACAACUGAAUACGGAGAUCCGUCUGUUGAAGACGCUGAGGCACAAGAACAUUGAGAAGUUGUUUGCCUCAUGUAUUGAUGAGGAUAAGAAGACAAUUAACAUCAUCACGGAGCUCUGCACAUCCGGCAGUUUGAGGCAGUAUGUACCUUUUCUUUAGCUCCACCAGUCCGCCUCGUUCGUAAUGCUUUGCCUGAUUCAGUUAUGGAUUACCCUUUCCGUUUAUAAGUUGAUGUACUUUAUUGAAUUGGUUUCUUAGUAACCAACCAUGCUGGAGUCUGCUGUUGUGUGGAGAAAGUUUGAUUGAAAUUUAACCACGGCAUAGAUUUCACUCUUAUCGCCCUUUCAUUCAGUACAUUCUGAUCAUUGAAAUUUGGAAUGAUAACCAGGUUCUGUAAGAAGCACGAUAAAUAAAACCAUGGUAAGUAAAAAAAGUGCAGUAUUCUAAGAAUACUUAAAAAAUACUUUGCUAUCAAACAGGGCCUCAAAGUAAUUAAAACCAUGGUAAUCCUAAAAACUAUAGUAUUUCCAGAAUACUUAGAAAAUACAGAGCUAUCAAACAGGGCCUAAAUCAUCAAUUGGAGGUGGUAGUAUGAGAUUUAAAAAAUCUGACAGUGUAGGAGAUAUCUAACUCCAUGGCAAUGUUCGAUGGAUGUUCUGCGAAUUGCUUGCAAGCCAUGAAAAAUUGGGGUUUGAACACAGCAUAUAUAUUGUCUUACACACUCAUGAUCUGGUAUUAGUUUUAAUUGCCUUGAUCUUUGUUUUGUAGUACAGACAAGAAUAGCUUCAAUGAUAGCAUCUCGAAUCAUCAAGUUGUGCGACUUCCCUCUUGAGUGGGUGUUGUAUUUUAGCAGGCCUAUAUUUGAAAUAGUUGAGAGCCACUUUUGUUGUUUCUAUAUGGGUGCACACCAAAUUAUACCUUCCGAGAAGAUUAAUGUGCUCAUGAUUUACCUUCUGAAAAAGGGAACUUGUGAUCCAUCUGCGCGCAAUGUUCCGCGGCGAUGUCCCUUGGUAGGAAUAAUGUCUCCCACGUUCUAUCCAUAUCCCGGUGGUGCGUCUAGCAUCCUCGGAGGGCGCGCGGAGGUGUGUCUCCAUCGGAUCUCGCGGGAUUCGGUUGGUGCAGGUCUUCGGUGGAUCUUUUUGGAUCUGGUCUGUGUUCAUCUUCAUUUGGAUGUUUACAGGUUUGAUUCUUCCGUUCUACGACUUUCUUCAUUGGGUGAUGGUUGUUGCUCUGGUGCCCUUGUGCUAUGUGGCCUUAGCACGACGAUUUCUUGACUGUCAACUAUAAUAAGGUUUGCGCAGCUCCAGCGAGGGAGGGGCGAUGACGGCGGCGCUGGGUUCAUCUUCAUUUGGAUGUUUACAGGUUUGAUUCUUCCGAUCUACGACUUUCUUCAUCGGGCGAUGCUUGUUGCUCUGGUGCCCUUGUGCUAUGUGGCCUUAGCACGACGACUUCUCGACUGUCAACUAUAAUAAGGCUUGCGCGGCUCCAGCGAGGGAGGGGCAAUGACAGCUGCACACCUUCGUCUCGCUCCAGUAUAUGUAGUCGUCGCUAGGUGGUUUUUAAUUUCUAUUAUCUCCGAUGUUCUUCGUACUACCAUGUUUAAAGAUGAAUAGAUUGAAAGUUUCCCAUGUAGAAAAGUAGUUUUCAAUUAUUACCAUUGUUGCUAUUUUUUC